AAACUGUGGUGUGGUCAAGAUCUCAGCAAGUCCUUGUAUCUCUCCCACGCAUCAUACAUGCUCUUAUCAUCAAACUGCAUAAAAGAAGAAAUAUCGUUACGCAUUUU
rfam:Ricinus communis cultivar Hale ctg_1100012287269, whole genome shotgun sequence.